UAUAGUCAGGCAUAGCCCUGUCAGAAGUAGUACCAAAAAUGUUAUUUUUCAAAAAAGGCAAGCUGUUAACCAAUGUCUAUCCUCCUUGCCAACAUAUUAAGGUUCUAAAAGUGAAAAGCAAAGUCAUUUGCAGAAUGGCAAGCACAUGCCAUCAGGCAGGGUGGAAACUCAGCCAUUUUGCCAUGUCAGUGGUGGUAUCAUCUGAAAAAGGCUGCCAUGUGGAGUGCUCUUCACCGUCUGGCACUCUGUAUAGCUGUACACAGCAUAACAACGCCCUUGUAAUAUCUUUUGUAUACAGCUUAAAAAGGAGGAGCCAAGGGGGACAACUUACAUGAAAGGGGACCUUCUGCUUUGUAGCAGGUACAGGCGCAGAUCACCAGCCCUCAGGCAGGCACUGCCUGCAGCAGCUCUCCCAGCCCCAGCUUGCUCUCUCUCAUGCACCCAGACACAGCUUUGAAGGUAAUGUAGGCUGCUUCCUCCCCCUCUGGGACCAGGCUAUGAAGCUCUCACACCAGAUUCCUCGCCUUCAAUAUCAAAAGGGCCACAUGGCCUGGAAGCAAACAGCCCCUGGCCUCAACUGAAGGCACCCAUGCUGACACAGCAGCCUACAAAGUAAGGACAUGAUCUUCAGAAAGGUCAGAUCCCUUCCUAGAUGUCACUUUUUAACAUUUACAUCUCUCAGGAGGACUACCAGGACAAAGCAAGCAGAGAGCAGCAGCUGUGUGUGCAUGAGUAUCUACAAGGGCACUGCUGGAGCAGACAGGUGUGAGCGAGGAGCAUGCACACCCUGCCCUGGAGCGUGCCAAUCUCCACUUGUGCAGCUCUCCUUCCUCUCUUAAGUACACUAAGCAGUGGUGGAAGUCCUCCAGGCUAGUGAGUCAGGAACCACUCAGUCAAGUGUGACACAGCUCCAGCCCUCUGCUCUCCCUUUCUCCCUCCCCCCAGCUUGCUCACACUGACAAGCACAGAACAGGGCAGGGAACACUCGUGGUUUCAUUCUUCUGUUUCUCUGACCUCAGUGUUAAGGUAAGAAAAAGCUCCUCCUGUGAAACACCGAGUUCCCACCUGUUCAGCUUCACGAGAAGGAAGCAAUAAGAAAGCAGGUAUUUGCCUCAGGAGUUUACUGCUACAGUGGCUGUCAAGAUAGCAUGACACAUUAAGUCUUCAGAUUAAAAACCCCAGAUACUCAAAACCACAGCAUUGGUUUGACAAAACAAAUCUGGAGAGCAACUGCAGGCAUAAUUAUGUCACCCCUCACCAGGGAAGCGGCAAAAGACAGCUAGGGAGCAAGCCCCUAAGCUUAGCUGUGGUCAGAAUAGCUUCUCUGCCUAGGACUUCAGGCAGCAAGUGAUUUACACUGAUGCCUACUUAUGGUCUUAUUAAGACAGUGUAAGGGUUUCUUACGCUACAUUGUCAGAAAUUUACAAAAUACCUGUACUUAGGAAAUGAGAACCAAUCCCUGGUAAGAUAGUACCCACUCUGUACAGCAGGGAGAGACAGAGGCUUUUAAACUCAGGUCAGUAAUAGAAUUUCAAGUUAGGGGCUAUUUAUCAUUGGUAUAAAAGCUUCCCUUAUACCACAUUUACCCCACUGUGCUCUCGUUAAAGAGGUGAUUUCAUGUUACGGUGAGAAGCAGGAGGAAGUAGAGAAGGGUGCCCCUUUCGUCACCACGUGGUCUGGCCUGGCUUUGCUCAAUCACAGUCCUAAAACACAUUGAACUAUGAAAUACUCUUUUCUCAGCCUGCCCUCACUGCAUGACCAAGUCUGCUUUCCUGCAUUUAAGUUGCUUCUACCUUGUCUUCCUCACAUUGACCGUCUCACCUUCUCAGGAUGGUUUCAUGUCUGCCAGUCUGAGUGACACUGAGGGCCACUAAUAGAAAACUGCACAUAUGCAUGGGUAAGAGCAGGGAAUACAAGGCAUCAUCCUGGAAGUCUGGUCCUUCACAUAAGGUGAUCUGUUCUUUCCAAGUCAGACAAUUCAAAAGUCAUGUGUCCUCAUCAUAUAUAUUUUGCAGAAAGCCUGGCACAGGAAUGCAUAGAAACAAAAUGCAUGCAACAUCUGCACAGGAAUUGAGGACACAUCUUAACUUGCAAGGCACUUUUCAUACCACAAUAGUGGUAAAUUAAUCUUUCCACCCAGAACUUUUAAACAGCAACCAUUCCCUCCAUUUUAAUGUGAUUUUUUACAGGAGCAUUUUAGGAGAAACUUUAGCACCCGGAAAUGAUGGGUUAUAACUUUAUAUGUCAGCACAUUUGCCAUUCUAGGCCCUUGCUGUGGCUUAGAAGCAGUAUUUCCACCCUAGGAUAUUUAUUAAGCACCCAGUUUUGAAGUGGAGAAUCUGGCUUAAGUUCACAUUGUGGGAAAAUAAUACUGUAAAUGGUCAGGAAUUUGGGAAGGAUCCGAGCAGAGAGACAGCAGUACAGUCUUUCAAGGCUACAAAAUUUUCAACAACAUGAGGCAUGACACAGCAAUACUUGCAGAUGCUUGGAAAGGACCUUUUUAAGUAAGCCUUCAGUCACACUGUUAAGGUUCCAGCAAAGUCAAAGUCUGACAAGGCAUCCCGGAAAAGUUUUGUACAGCUGCCUUUACCUAUGCAGUCACUGUCUACUUCUAGCAGGGUGGGUAUUUUCUCGCUACAUAAUGUUCUUGUGCUGUUUCAACUUAAUUGCAAGCGAGCAGCAGAGCUUCACAUUGCUUUUUCUGCAGGACACUUUUUUACACUCUUAAUGGGUACGCUGAUUUUCCUGGAGAAGGUACAUCCAGGGGUUUUUUUUCCAUAUGCAGCCAAAUUCUCACCAUGUUUUUUCAUUUCCCUACUCCAGCGCUCUUGCAUCAUGGAAUAACUACUCUUCCUUCUCAGCGUUUAAACGCGUGCAGGCUGCAGUGCCUUGGCUGCCAGACAGUCUGCAUUUACAGCACAGUAAUCCUCAAACACAUGAAUAAUUCUACAUCAGUCUGAUAAUUAUCAUCAAUGCCUGUAAUGACUUGUUGAGCAAAAAUUCGGGCUUCCAUCUUGCAUACUGACUUGGUAAGGGGCAAUUUUAUGUGUUUAACGCUAUAAUUACUGAACUUAGUUUCAAUCAGUUCCUCAGGUAGGGUGUGAUCUGGUAUACCUUUUUUUUCCAGGUCUUUCCAAAGUACCUGUAGGCAAUGAGGCAAUGAGAAGUUCACAUACCAGUAUGUUCAGCGCACAAUCCCUCCUAUACUGUCCUGUAUGCGCAAGAGAUCUCAAAAGGAAACCCACUUGCUUCUUCUGACGAGACAAAGCUGCUGUCACAGGCCAGCAAUAAGGGUGAUCCAACUCCUGUUCCUCUACCCAUGGAGUUUCAACAGUUUUCUCCUAUUCUUAGGCUGCGAUGUGACCCUGACAGGCACUGAAUGCUUUCUAUUCCUCCCCACGAGCUAGGACUGUGCUCCUGAGCACAUUUUACUCCAUCCCAGCCUGUCUCGGCGCUGCGGUACUUCCUGCUGUUCUCUUCUAGGUCACGCACACUCCCGCCCCAUCCUGCCCUUCCCCCAUCGCCAACCCUCUCGUGUUCCGGAUCCCACCGGCCAGAAAAGGAGGCGUGCGGGGCGAAGCUGUGACCCGAGAAACCGAAGGAAGCUUAAAAGUUCCGAAGGAAAAGCCGCUUCUUCGGUGCCAGGCUGAGGGUCCUCCGGUGCCGUGCGAGCACCGAGCCCCGGCGCUCCGAGGAUAGGGGGGGCGGAUCUGAGACAGCUCCGAAGGCCGCUUCUAGGAAGACUCAGGACUCCGGGGAGACCUGACACCCCAUCCUCUCUGGAUGCUCCAGCACAGAGAGAGCUCCAAAGACUCAUUCUGCAUAUCUGAAGGGCAGCCUCCUGUUUGAUUCCACAAUGCACACUGGAAGGUGAAUUGGAAGAAGACCCUUCACGGAGCAGAAGAUCAUACAUUUAAAAAAAAAAAAGAAGCACAUGUGACAGAAAGAAAAGAAAAAAGCACAGGAGAGCAGAUGAGUGUACAGGUUAUCUCCCAGGCUGUAUGCAAGAUCUGCAUUACUGGCAAGUAUGGAGAGGAAACAGGAACGCAGAAGUCACUGCACUGGCAUGUUCACAGAAUUCUGAACCAGACACUUUCUUCCAGAAAUAAAGAUUAGUUGCUUACUCAGCCAAGAAGUGCAAAACAAGCCAAUCAAAUCAGAAAAAAUAUCUUAGAAGACAGAAAAACGCAUGUUCAAUGCUCUGCGUAGCAAUCCUGUUGUUCAGGGUCUGAAUCUCUUCACAGCAAGGCAGGUCCUGGGAACAGUUCCUCUUGUUCCUCUCUUUGGUAGGUAUAAGCCUGGAAAACAAGCAUCUCCUUUAAGAGAACUGCGGGCAUCUGACAGAAGUGCAGGGGACUAAUAGUCUCCUCUGAAGACAGGUGGAAGACUUGUGUGUUAUGCAGUCUUAUCUCUCAGUAUUUUUCUACAGAAUACAGUUUUAAAGACUUGUCUACACUUUGGCUUGCUUCUCCUUUUGAGAAUUUUCCUUUUCCCAAGGCAAAGUACAGAUUUGUCAUUGUAGCUGUGACUAUUCCUGCAAAUGGUGGACCCAAUCUGAUAAUUGGACUUUUCUGGCAAAAAUAUAUUACAUGCUCCUUAGAAAUUUCUGCUUGUGGACUCUCCAAACAUGAAGUAAAAUACAGUAAAAUGCUGUAUCUAUGCUGCCAAUCUUUUCUGAAGCUUAAGAUAACUCAAUGGAAAUCUUAAAAUGUUACCUAGUAUUUUAACGUGUUUUCUUACUUUGGUAUCUAGUUGUCCUUGAACUAGUUUUUAUUAAUUUAUGUAUAUACCAAACUUACCCUCUCACAUAAGUCAAGCAAGUGGAAUUAUUCAUAUAGCUACAUAAAAAUUAGUAAUUUGUUCAUUGGCAGCUCCUUUAGUGUCUUGUAAGGAUGAUUCUUUCAAGGAGAGAAAUGGAAUUUUUUAAAAUAUAUUUUAUGUUUUAUUUUAUUAUAUUUUCCCCAUGGGAAACAUAAUCUGCUUUAUGUCUUUGCAAACAUGAGUAGCUAAAGCUACUUUAGAGUCAUUAUAUCUGACUCUAUUUCAUGCUCCAUUUGAAAUAACUGAGUGCAAAUUUCAAAGUGGGUGGCAAAUUUACAAUAUGAAGCAAAAGGAAAUUUUAACAAUUAGCCUUCCUGGUGCAGCUUUGUCUUUGUUCUUAUUUUUUAACUACUUCUCCUCCAGCACAAGCAUGGCUCACUCGGUCAGCAGUGUCACCCAUGUGCUGCGUGCCCGGUUCUUGUUCCCACUGUUCCAGUGAUGGCCAGUUUCCCUUCUGCUCCACUCUGCCCACCACAGAGAUGUGGAACCCAUGGCAGGCAGCAUCCUCAGGGGGGCUCCUGGAGGCAGUUGUGGGCAUGAGAAUGGUACAGCACAGGCAGGAAUAGGCACUGGUGUACGCAGUCAGCUUUACUCUGUUCCAUGGAUGUCGGUGGUUAGGUCAUUCUAAUCACAAAGCUCUUCUGUUUUGAUUGUUUUUGUUGUUGGUUUUGUUUUGGUUUUUUACCUUUUUUACCUUUUUUUUUUUUAAUUGUCAGCUUUUUAAUAUGAUUUCCUCUUAAACACUAAAAAGAAGAGCUCUUCACAGGAAAUAUGGGAAGUAGUUAGGGAAAAUCUGCAUGCAUUUUUGCAACUUUGCCUUCUUCUUUGCUCGAGUAUUUUCCAUCUAUCAGUGCAGACACUGGGAACUAAGGUCUCUACCCUGCUACAGUGUUACUUGCAUGAGCCCUUUUAGAACAGUUUGCUUUGGAAAAGUGGAUUACGAAUUCAUGCUGUCUGCAUGUAUCCAUUUUCUUAGUCCCUCUCUGAUAACAUAUCUGUCAGCUUCAGUCAUGCUAGAUGGAAGGGCAAAAAUCCCAAUGACUUUGAUGUCUUAUAAAUUUUUUAAAACAUAGUACCUAGGAACACAGACCACCGGUACUGUGUGUGAGGGAAGGCAGAGAGAAGGCAGAUAUUCCCUCUACUGGCCAGCUCCCCAGAAACUCAGAAAUAUGAGUAGUCUGGUCAGUUGGCACCCUAACUCCUGUUUCAAGUCAUCCACAGAACACACUGUCUCUUGAUCCCACAUCCAUUCAAUCGAAAAAAAAAGCUCAGGGUCAAUCACAUGCUGGCAGUCAAUUCCCCUUUAACCUGUAGCUCUAAGGCACAUCAGAAAUCCCACAAUUUAAUUUAUGUCCAUAAUAACACAGGAAAAUACAUACAGUACAUACUGGGGCCAAGUGCUAAGCUAAAACUAAUUUGUAUGAAAUUGUCAAGAGGUUUUUUUGUAGUGUCAGUGUGAAAAGAAACCCCAUUUUAUUAUAUUUGCCAUGAGUUGCUGACAUUAAAUGUCUCAAAAAAAAACAAUAAUUGGUGGAAUCUGCUCAGUUAUCAAGAUGAAAAACAUCUGGUACAGGUGUUCAGUUUUAAUUAAGUGAUAGGUUGUUCUGAUAGGAAGCUGCUUUCCUCUUUGCUGAGGUAUUUUCCAUCUAUAAGUGCAGACACUGGAAACUAAGGCCUCUAGCCUGAUGCAGGGUUACUGCUUCAGAAAUGAGAAAAGCUUCUCAAAUCUGCUGCUGCAUUCCCUCUGCAGAGCAUGCUGAAGGUUUGGCUCGUAUUUAAAACCAGGAGCAAAAGCAGGUCUCCAAAUAAUGAAUACUUUUGUACAGCAAAGUACCUAUCUCCACCAAAUCCUCCUGAAAAAGGCUUCUAAUAAUCUAAUUUACAGGCAUGGCAGCUAAGUGAGCAAGAAAUAUAAGUGAAAAAAUGCCACUUAUAAAACUGCUCUCUCCUGAUCAAUCUGGGAAAAGAGCAACUUUCAGACAACAGCACAUCUGGUAUGACAAUACGGUUUAUAAAAUCAUUUUUCAGACAAAGCAACAAUAGCAAAAUAUGAACAAGCUUUUGGUCUAGUCAUCAGCCCUACAUUUGCCUGACCUAAACACUUAGUAAUCAAGAAAAGUUAAUCCCUACUUUGCCCUGUUUUGCCCGUGCUAGCCAGAUAUUAAAUCACUCAUUUAAGAGAAGUAAAAUGUAAACUUUAUCAUUGCCUCCUGGUCUCCAUGCUCUUAAGAGUCCCUCAUUUGGUUUCCACAUUCUUUCCAGACGAUUGGAAUUCCACUCCUGCAUUUUCAAGAGGUCUUUUUAUUGAAAAUUUUGACAUUCACAUACAGACAUUCAGUGUCAUGAGAACUAGAUCUCAUUGCAGAAAGAUCUGCACUGCAAGAGGGCAUGAAAACCCCACUCACUGUUUGCAGCAGCCUCUGCAGUGUCCAAUUUGUCUUCCCUUGUGGGCUUUCAUACCCAGACCAUGCUUAGCAUAAAACAUGGCAACAUAUUGUUACCCUUCCCACAUCUGGAAAUUACUCUGUAUUCAGGUAUUUUGCCUCUUGCUUCUGUUUAAUCUGAGUCAGCAGGUGAAUUAUGUUUGUUAAAUUCAUAUCCAGCAAGAAUGACCUGUUAGUCUAAGAUUCUUUUAAGCAUCCUCUUGAACACAAUUUGCAUUGAGGGCAAGAUGAUAAGAUCUUUUUCUUGAAAGAACAUUAAAGAACAUAAUAAAUUACAUCAGCCAUGUUUGGGUUAUUUCUGCAAUAAUCUGUAAAAUUGCUCUUUAAAAUAACUUCAGAGUAGGAAUGUAUUUGUUCACAUUAACGAUAUCCUAAAAGGCAUGAAAAGUGACCUGAGACUCAUGUCAGUUCCUUCCAUGCCAAAAUGAAUGUUCUGCCUCUGAUGUGCAUCCUGUUUUUCCUGCUCUCAGUUUGCUGUGGGUGAGUAUGGCAGGAUGUUUGGAGUGCAGAAAUGUUAUUAUAAAGGCAAGUCAGGGCUGCCAAAGCCUGUGGUGUUUGGGAGGGUUUCUUAUGCUUGUUACACUGUCUGCACUUGUGCCUCCUGUCAUUGUUCCUGCCUGGACAGUGCAGCUCUGGGCCUUGCAUUAUACUGCCUUUGGGCCUCUGGACUUUCAUUUUCCCUGCGUAGCCAACAUACCCUGUGUACUGACCAUCGCUGUUUCACUGUGACUAGUAGAAGGCUUCACUGGUACAAUGGGUUUCCUCCCAUGCGCAGUCACAGCAAGCAGUGAGUUCUUCAGCACCAAGCACAGUUUCUCUUCUUCCAUAACAAUGUAAAGCCACUUUCAUCACAAGCACAGGCCUCCAGAGAAGCAGCCAGCGUGACUUGAAAUACACUUCUACCCCCACCCCUGGGCUUCUGAGCUUUGGUGUCUCCUUGAUCCCCCAUGUGUGCCAGGGAACACGUAGGGCUUCCGCUUUGGUGCACAGCAGAACUUCACCCCAUGCUAAGGUGAGCGCCCCACCAUUUUCACACUCCUGGGGUAGGGCCACAGAAAGGAAAGAGCCAAACUCUUCUCAGAGGUGAAUAGACAGCACCAAGGCACUCAAUACAGACCAAAGGAACCCCUUCUUCCCCACAAGGACGCUUGACCCAGGAAGAGAGACACAAAGAAGCCUUGGGAUCGCCAGUCCUGUAGUCGCUUGUCCAGCUCUACUGGACAAGACCUGAAGCAGCUUGAUUCAGCUGGCGCUCCUUCAAGCUUCAAAGGUGGUGAUGGGGCAACUGGUGGAUCACAGACCUCCAGAGGUCUCUUGUGAAGAAAAUUAUUCCACAAUUCUACCUCACAGCUUCUAGGCAUUGCUUCAGCUCUGCUUGUUUUCCUGAAAUAUCUUCUGCAACAGGUUAGCAUUCCAGAAGUAACGGGUAGUACUCACAUCGCUGGCUGAAUGCUCACCUUGGAGGACAAAUAUAGGCAAGAAGAGAUAAUUUGUUGUGGGGUUUCUUUGUCAUGAAGCUGUAGUACUGGCAAUGACUGCCAUAGCUUAAGGUCACCAAAUAUAUUUCUACUGUCUGUUCUUCAUCAAACCAUCAUCCACAAAUUUAUCCUGAAUUCAGAAAUUAAUUGUGAUUUUAAAAAGAGAUUUUUAAUGUGUUAUGUUACAGCUAGGUGGGAUUUGUCCAGGUAUAAAAUUUUAAGAAAGCCUUACAGAAAGAAAGGGAGUUUGGGCCUUCUAUAACUAAACUUAAAAGAUACUGUGGUUACUGAAGAGGGGCUGGAAAAGCUGAUGGCAGAAACUGCAGCAGCAGCACCAGGUAGAAGUAGGUAGAAGGGCUAAGGGUCUACUCCAGAGUGAAAAGUAGCAGAAGAUGAUGUUUAUGAAGGUGUUACUUGAGCAGAAGCAGCUUAGCAAGGAAAGGGACACAGCUGAAAACUAACAUGGAUAUACACUUUCAGUUUGUCAAAAAGGGGGAAUACUAUCAGCUUGGCUUGCUCAAAAUAUGAAGAUUCUUCAGAAGAAAGCAGCACAGAUCUCAGGGAUGGGUUUCCCUUUACAAACAGCUCUCCUAAGGAAUACUGUGUGGCUUAUAUCUAGAUACAAAUUUUGGAAUUAUUUUGCAUUCACUGGAUAUGGGCCUUGUGUUCCAUGAUUUGCCUUGGCCUCCUUAGUAACAAAAACUUAAUGUCCGUGCUGAAAUAAAUAAGCUGUGAAGUUUUCCUAAUGAGAAGCUGAAAAUACAGCCUUUGUAUUCCUCUGGUAUCCACCUUCACAAAUGUGCCCAUUGUUUCUGCUUAUUUUCUGCCUGUUGAACUAGAAAUACUGAAAAACAGUAUUGUAGUCGCAAAGCUGUACUUGGGAAUCCAAGAGCCUUCAUACUGCAGCUCCAAAUUUUUACACGGCUGCAACAGUCUUUCUGUAUAUACUUUUGUUUUGUUAUCCAUUUGAAACUUCUUCUUGCUCCUUUUAAAGUGUAAACCCCUAAAGACCUGGCUGCUUCAGGAGCCAGGACUCUACCAUAAAUAUCUCUCAUUGAUGUCUAAAUAUGAUGCUGCACUGGUCACCAAAGAAAUCCCCUGUUGCUGUGUGUCUUUCAUGCAUUUCUGAUUGUUCAAAAACAUUUCUCAAUUUUCAUUUUUAAAUCUGAACUGCAGGAAGCUAACUCACAAAUGCCCUGGCAUGAUCACUGUCAUUGCUUCAUAGGAGCCCUGCAUCUUGGUCUAUCCUGUGUUUGUUGUUUGCUUCUUGAUACUCAGGCUGACUUGGUAGAAGGGAAGAGAGAAAGCUGGACAGCACCUUCCCUGCUUUCAACGUCUUUCCCAGUCAGUGCUGAAAAAGCUGUGGAAGUCUUAUGCCACUGAAAUAAUUUUGCAGCCUGCAUAUCCUACCCCAUGUGCUUGGAAAUGUUGCACAGAUGUAGCAAUGCUGUCAGUGGGGAAUACAUACUGUAGGAGAGCUGCUAUGUAUAAAAAUCCUGUCAGUGUUUAAACCCAUACACUGAAGGCUCAUGAGGUAAGUUGGAGGAAGAAAACAUGGGGAAGAGAUGUGACACUCCAGCUCUGGGCUGGGUCCUAUCCCAGACAGAGAACAGCUUGAGAAGCUGUCUUCUGACUCUGGACAGAGGAGUACCUCUGGAAACCCACAGUACAAAUGGAUUUCUUAGCACCUCUAGGAAGGCUGAAAAAUAGAUUUUUAAUGAGGGAAGACAGUCAGGAAAAGAGCUCAAACUAUGUGUGUUUUCUGCUUGCAGAGUGUGAGUUACAGCCCAGGGACACAAAAGGAUCAGAUAAGGUGAAAUGGAAGUAGCUUCUAUCUUUCCUUCUUUUCCCUACUGUUCCCUGCUAAGCUGUUUUUUCACAUCUCCUCUUUUCAGGGCAAAAUAACUCCUGCAUGUUGCACAACUUCAAGUUAAUACAUGCUACCAAACCAAGAUGUACCAAAUAUCUUAGCAGGAGAAUUUCUCCUCAAAGGAACACCAUGCACUGUUUUGUAUGCAGUGGAGUUUUGUGUCCAUCUGGUGUUAGAUAUGAGACUAACCAUAGAAUCAUAGAAUGCUUUGGGUUGAAAGGGGCCUUCAAGAUCAUUUAGUUACAACUGCCCUGCCAUGGGCAGGGACACCUCCCACUAGACCAGGCUGCUCAAGGUCCCAUCCAACCUGGCCUUGAACACAUCCAGAGAGGGGGAAUUUACACCUUCCAUGGACAACCUGUGCCAGUGCCUCACCAGCCUCAGGGAGAAGAAUUUCUUCAGUCCAAUCUCCCUUCCAAUUUAAAGCCAUUCCCUCUUGUCCUAUCACUACAUGCCCUUGUAAAAAGUCCCUCCCCAGCUUUUUUGUAGGCCCCCUUCAGGUACUGGAAGGCUGCUAUAAGGUCUUCCCGGAGCCUGCUCUUCUUCAGGCUGAACAAACCCAACUCUCUCAGCCUGUCUUCAUAGCAGAGGUGCUCCAGCCCUCUAGCCAUCUUCGUGGCUCUCCUCUGGACCCGUUCCAACAGUUCCAGAUCCUUCUGAUGUUGGAGAUUCCAGAACUGGACACAAUACUCCAGAUGAUGUCUCAUAAGAGCAGAAUAGAGGGGGGGAAUCACCUCCCUCGAGCUGUUGGCCACACUUUAUUUGAUGUAGCCCAGGAUACAGUUGACUUUCAGGGCUGCAAGCACACAUUGCUGGCUCACGUUCAGCUUCUCAUCAAUGCCCAAGUUCUUCUCUGCAGGACUGCUCUCAAUGACAUCAUCUCUCAGCCUCUAUUGAAACUGCAGAUUGUCCUGACCCAGGAGGAGGAAUUACUUUUGAUGACAUUUUCUCAAAGAUAAUAUUUUUCUGAAAGAAAAAGGAGGAAUACUGCACAGUAGCAGAUGACGGGAAGGUGGAGGAACCAGGUAAAGACUAUGACUAGGUUCUGUGAUAAUAAGGAGCAGGACAGUCCAAACACUUCCAUUGUUAGUAUCUACAAGAGAUUUGCCUUGACUUGAGAUGUAUAAGACUGCCUUUGGACAAUUGUCCCAUAAAAGUAGUGGGUUCAAGACAUUAAUAUCCCAUUCCAAAGAAACAGCUACUUUGGGGACUUACACUCUACUACUGAACAUUGCUCUUUGUCUCCGGGCUACAUCUCUUCCUCCUACUUGGGUGAAGUGGUAAAGACAAAAUAUUCCAAGUAAACACUGUAAAAUCAAGGAACUCUGCUUCUCCUGUGAGGUAGGAUCGUGAAGAUCAACUGGAAAGAAAUUGACUUAGAAUAAACUGAUGUGUCCUGUCACCACUGGAGAAGGUGGAGCUAUUUUUAACUGGGUCACAAUAGUUAACUGGCUGUUAAAUUAUAAAAAAUGCUUCCUAGGUGUGGGUAGAGGUCUUGGUAAGUCCAGGUUACUAUCAGGCUGGUUUAAGAUAUCCUGUUUCCCCUCAACAUAUAAACAUAUGAAUCCUUUCUAGUUCUGAGCGCUUCUCCCUAAAGCUGAGUGUCUCACAGGCUCCUGGGGAGCUUCAUGAUAAUUAGGUGGUGAUGUAAGUAGUUUCUGCUUUGAGAAAGGCUAUGAGAAUCACCUUUGUGAUGCAGACCCAGCUAUUGCAUGGGAUGGCUCAGGCUGUAACCUCUGUGUCACUUAGCACAGAAGGUCUCACGUGGAAUCCCUGUACACCUUUGGACACACUGCACCCCAUCUAGAACUACUCCAUUUCAGAACACAGUUUCUCAUGCCUACAGGUGCAGCUUAUUCUUGCCACACUCAAGUCUUGUCAUCUGAUGCAGCUUAUCAUAACAGAGGUCUUUCCAUCAUGGACUGUGAGUAUCUCUUCAGAGUAAGGCACUUGUUUCUUGUGCUUGGUGCAGUAGGUAGUGCCAGUCUCACAAGUAGGUAUGAUUACAAGUUGAACAUAUGAAUUUCUGAGGUUUUGAUGGUAGCAAAUGAGCCUCUUGAGCUUUAUUUCCUCUGUCUGUCUCUCUCUCUCUCAAUUCCUAGAUCAACAGCAUGCUUCACCUACAAGGCUGUAGGAACAUUUUGAAACAUUUGCCUUCUAGUAUAUCAACAGAAACUUCUCUGCCAUUGACAUUGAUUUGACAAGCUGUAGCAUAUCAUCAGGAUACCCACAUUUUUUUUUCUGUCAUAGGAAAGCUGAUCCUAAAUUUAUAAAUCCCAUGGUAGUCUUUCCUGACUACAUGUCUAACUCCAUGUGGAUGAGUUACCAGGUGUGUAUAUUUACCAGGGACAAUACUCUCUGACAGUAUACUUGGGCAUUUUCCAGAUAGAAUCGUAGAAUCAUAGAAUCAUAGAAUGGCCUGAGUUGGAAGGGACCUUAAAGAUCAUCUAAUUCCAACCCCUCUGAUGUGGGCAGGGGCACCUCCCACUAGAUCAGGCCGACCAAGGCCCCAUCCAGCCUGGCCUUGAACACUUCCAGGGAUGGGACAUCCACAACUUCCCUAGGCAACCUGUUCCAGGGCCACACCAUUCUCAUUGUGAAGAAUGUCCUCCUUAUGUCUAGAAUAAAUCUGCCUCUCUCCAAUUUUUAGCCAUUCCCUCAAAUCCUAUCACUACAUGCCUUUACCAAAUCCCUCCACAACUUUCUUGUAGGCCCCCUUCGUGUACAGCAAGAUCAUUAUAAGGUCUCCUCAUCACAAGAAGGAUGUUGAGUCUCUGAAGCAUGUCCAGAGAAGAGCAAUGAAGGUGGUAAGGGGGCUGGAGAACAAGUCUUAUGAGGAGCGGCUGGGAGAGCUGGGGUCGUUUAGCCUGGAGAAGAGGAGGCUGAAGGGAGACCUUAUUGCUCUCUACAACUACCUGAAAGGAGGUUGUGGAGAUGAGGGAGCUGGCCUCUUCUCCCAAGUGACAGGGGACAGGACAAGGGGGAAUGGCCGCAAGCUCUGCCAGGGGAGGUUCAGGCUUGACAUCAGGAAAAAAUUUUUCACAGAAAGGGCCAUUGGGCACUGGAACAGGCUGCCCAGGGAGGUGGUUGAGUCACCUUCCCUGGAGGUGUUUAAGAAAUGGGUGGACAAGGUGCUGAGGGGCAUGGUUUAGGGAGUGCUAGGAACGGUUGGAUUCGAUGACCCAGUGGGUCCCUUCCAACCUAGUGAUUCUAUGAUUCUAUGAUUCUCCUCAGAGCCCUCUCUUCUCCAGGCUGAACAACCCUAACUGUCUCAGUCUGUCCUCAUGUGGAAGAUGCUCCAGCCCUCUGAUCAUUUUUGUAACCCGUCUCUGGACCCAUUCCAACAGCUCCAUAUCCAACAGACCCAUCCCCAGAUGCUGGGGAUUCCAGAACUGGACACAAUACUUCAGGUGGGGUCUCACAAGAGAGGAAUAGAGGGGCAGAAUCACCUCCCUCGACCUGCUGGCCAUGCUUCUUUUGAUGCAGCCCUGGACAUGGUUGGCCACCUGAGCUGCAAGCACAUAUUGCUGGCUCAUGUCAAGCUUCCAAUCAAUCAGCAUCCCUAAGUAUUUCUCCACAGGGCUGUUCUCAAUCACAUCAUUUCCCCAUCCCCAACCACGGAUUGCCCCGACCCAGGUGCAGGACCUGGCACUUGGCCUUCUUGAACCUCAUGAGGUUGUCACAGGCCACUUCUCCAGCUUGUCCAGGUCCCUCUGGAUGACAUUCCAUCCUUACGGUGAGGCAACUGCACCACUCAGCUUCGUGUCAUCUGCAAACUUGCUGAGGGUGCACUCAAUCUCGUUGUCUAUAUCAUCAAUGAAAAUAUUAAACAGCACUGGCCCCAGUAUGGACCCCUGAGGGACACCACCCAUCACAGACCUCCAUCUGGACACUGAGCCAUUGACCACUACUCUCUGAAUGUGACCAUCCAACCAGUCCCUUAUCCACUGAACAGUGCACCCAUCAACUCCAUAUCUCUCCAAUUUAGAGAGAGUGGUGUUGCGGGGUACUGUGUCAAAGGCUUUACAGAAGUCCAGGCAGAUCACAUCCAUCGCUUUUCCCAUGUCCACUGCUGUGGUUACCCCAUCAUAGAAAGCCACUAGGUGAGUCAUACAGGAUUUGCCUUUGAUGAAGCCACAGUGGCUGCCUCUAAUCACCUCCCUGUCCUCCAUGUGCUUUAGCAUGUCUUCUAGGAGGAUCUGUUCCAUGAUCUUCCCAGGCACAGUGGUGAGGCUGACAGGUCGGUAGUUCUCAGGAUCAUCUUUUUUACCUUUUUUUAAAAUGGGGACAAUGUUACCCUUCUAGUCGCUUAAAAAGACAAUUUAUAAAUCCCUUGUAAUACGGUUGUGCAAGGGGGACCUUGAAGACAUGUGGAAAGCUUAAGGAGGGAAAGUCCAAGAUGGCUCAGGAAAAGCCUAAAAGGAGUCUAUCAAAUGCUGCAGGAAUCCACAGCCAUGCUGGAGAUCACAGCAUGGGCUACAGUAUUUUCCCAUGGAAGGAAGGAUGGGUGACUUCAGCUUAUAAGACAAUAGGUGACAUAAAUCUCUAGUUAUUGUAGAGAAUAUUAAUUGACACUUGGGAAUAAAGCUCUUGUAUUGGUGAGACUACUACAGUAAGCAGCAAAAAUGCUUUGUGCUGAUGGAGCCAUAGUAACAAAAGAAAACCAGCUAUUUUGAUUUUAAAGUUGUGUUUUAAAAGACACUACUAAGAAACCUAGAACAAGGGAAAUUCCAGUGAGACUUUAUCACAGUAAAUGUGCAGCUAAAAUUAGAUUCUUGCAAAAGCAAACUAGGAUGCGAGAACCAAACAUAGCUACUGCAUGUAGGAAGAGACAGAACACUUGACUGGAAGCUGUCAGAGAUGAUCUCUAUUGGCUAACAGGUUUGAAUUGUUCACUUGAACUACUUUAAUUCCAGAAGGGAGGGCUCUUGUCACCCUACAAAAUAUAGUUCCAUAUGAUUGCUGAGCUGUUCCUGUCUUGUAAAUCUACAUAGAAGCAACUGCUGAUGAUAUUGAGAUCACUUACAAUCAUGUCCUGGUGAAGGUGCUUUUGAAACAGCACAGUUUCCUGGAGGAGACGCUGGAAGCUAGACUCCAAGAAGCAAAAAAUAGCCCACGCCUCCCUGCAAGGACCAGAACCAGAACUGAUUAUAUAUAGAAAACUACUUGGAGUAGCAGGUGGACCACGAAUUAAACACUGACCUAUAACCAGUAUUGUGAUUUGCAAAACAUAUGGAGGGUUGAAGGCGUGUAUGGGACAACACUGCAGUAGAUAAAUGUGAGCAUGGUUAACACAUACAACUGCAUCCACUUGGUUAACAUGGUUUCUAAGCCUGUCAAGUUUAUGUACUACUCUCACAGCAACCUGUUGGAAAAAGAAGUUAGGAACUUGGAGAAAUGUGAGUCAAGCAUGUCUUCUGCAAAGUUUGUCUCAGCUCAUCACAAUGAAUAUGUAGCAUGUGGUAUCAUUAUAUUUGGCACCUCAGUUUAAUCUCAAAGCUGUAACUCAGUUUAAAAGUCCUCAAGGGAAAGGACAACCUGUACUGCAUUCUAAUAGCCUGGAGCCUACCUGCUUAAAAACGCCCAAAUUUAAUCUUGCAACUUAGUAGCAGCACAUGCUGGUAAUUCAAGAAGAAAUUUUUUGAGCUUCUUUUCCACCUCCAUCACCUCCUCCUAUAGCCUUGCUCCACUUCCCAAUACUUACUUCUGAUUUUCCAUCUCUACUUUUGAUUUUGUAUACAUUGCCUGGGAGUGUAUCUGUGACUGAAUUGCUGGAAUUUAAGUGGUGAUGGUAGUGGUUUCUACACACGUAGGCAGUCAAGAAUCUCAUCAGUGUUCUAUGUAUACGUAGUCUGUCUGGUAUGUUAGCAGCCAAAUGAUAACUGACGGUCAGAUGGAGAGCUCAGAAGGGUUAGAAUGACUGAGGGUAUAGAUGAGUGUCUCUCUCAUAUUUAAAUCUCCCUGGUGUGGUAUGCUUCAAGCAUUAAAUAAAAAAAAGCUGCAGUUCAGAAUAGUGAUCAAAUAGGCUGAGACAGCAUACCUUGUCAAUUCUACAGCAGGGACAUCAGGGAGAAAAAGAUCAACUCCCCAAACCUCAAACAUGAAAGAUUGUUGAAAGAAAUAGAAGUAUCUUACUGCUCUACACACGAAGGAGGUUGCGUAACAUUGAUGGAGUUAAAAAUUGUUAUGGAUUACACUUAAACUAAAGUAAAUAAAUAACAAAACAUUGAUUAAUACUUCAAAAUGUGUCUGAAUAUGUGCAGCAACAAACCUGGAAGCUGUCUCUUACAGCUCCCAGGAUUUGUAUGACAGACUGAAGUUUCUUAUUUGUCAUAGAGUUCAGGGGAAGAGCGUGGGUUCAAAGUCAGGUUUGCAUCAACAAACUGCAUCUCUGAGUUUGUAUAUAUUAGAGCAAAGCACCCGGACUGUGAAAGCAGAUCUUGUUAAAGGCACUUUCCUGAAGGAGGGCAAGGUGUCUAUCUGUCUUGGAAAGAAAUGGCCGGUCUUUUGAAGGGGAAGAAAGAUCUGCUUGGGCAGAUAACAAGGAAAGAUGUGGCAAACAAAGACAGAAGUCUACCAACCCAAAAGCUAGGAUGUAAAAUGAGGGGUAACGUUGUUACUUAGUAAAGAAAAGAAUGACUGGAGGUUACUUCAGGUAUGUCACAAGUAUUUGCAAAGACAAAGGGUAUGAACUGCUGUGUCUGCUAAAAUCAUAGCAGGAAGAGUAUGGUUAGAAAUCGGGAAAUACUUCAUAACAAUCAGACCAACAAAGCAAGACUAGAUUGUCAAACGUAUUCCAAAGCCUCAGAGGACAGACACUGUAUAUCUUCACAAUUCACCUGUCAGAAGCUUACACAGUACAGAUAUGAUUGAUGGUAUCCCUUGAUAGAUCAAAUGAUCCUUCACAGUCCUACCUCAUCCUCAGGAAAUAGUAGGGGAAAACAGGGGGAAAAAAGCUUCUAAGGCCAGCAUUGCCAGCAAAGCACACGAAGAGGACUUAAUGGUA